rnacentral:rRNA from 1 species
GUGAGGAAUAUUGGUCAAUGGGCGAGAGCCUGAACCAGCCAAGUCGCGUGAAGGAAGAAGGAUCUAUGGUUCGUAAACUUCUUUUGCAGGGGAAUAAAGUGCGGGACGUGUCCUGUUUUGUAUGUACCCUGAGAAUAAGGAUCGGCUAACUCCGUGCCAGCAGCCGCGGUAAUACGGAGGAUCCGAGCGUUAUCCGGAUUUAUUGGGUUUAAAGGGUGCGUAGGUGGUUUGAUAAGUCAGCGGUGAAAGUUUGCAGCUUAACUGUAAAAAUGCCGUUGAAACUGUCGGACUUGAGUGUAAAUGAGGUAGGCGGAAUGCGUGGUGUAGCGGUGAAAUGCAUAGAUAUCACGCAGAACUCCGAUUGCGAAGGCAGCUUACUAAGCUACAACUGACACUGAAGCACGAAAGCGUGGGGAUCAAACAGGAUUAGAUACCCCUGUAGUCC